rnacentral:lncRNA from 1 species
GCGGUUUACAGAUUAAAUCAAUGUUAAAACGGCUUGCCAUACCCUGCGGGUCAUUUUUGAUUGGUCUGCGGUAUGCAAGUUAUCUACAAGAGGAAGGAAUUAUCCGGUAGAAAUAGAGUGCGCUGCUGUUGCACGGGGUUAGUACGUCUCUUCUUCAGUACGAGAUGAAGGGGAUUUCAAAAUAUCUCGUUGGAAUCAUUCUGUUCGUGUACUCGAACAUCAAACUGACAUCAGGAGCAUCUGUUGUCUUGCAAUGCACUGGGAAGAGACAGAACGAUGGACAGUUUCUCUUUGUCAUUUUGUAUAACAGUAAAGAGUACUUCAGUGACUGCGAGAAACAAUGGCUUGUCAAUGGAACUCUGACAGGACUUUUUGAGGAAGGAAAUCCGUCUUUCAUCUCUCCUAUUACAAAUCUGACCGCAAGCACCGCCACCUUGCAGGCCUGUCCUGAAAAUCUCGAGUGCCUGCUCUCCUGCCCCACCGGCAAAGUAAGUGUGAAGUUGUUUGUGA